rnacentral:rRNA from 1 species
AUUGAACGCUGGCGGCAGGCCUAACACAUGCAAGUCGAGCGAGCGGCGGACGGGUGUGUAAUGUCUGGGAAACUGCCUGUUGGAGGGGGGUAAAUACUGGGAACGGUAGCUAAUACCGCAUACCAUCAGAUGUGCCCAGAUGGGAGUAGCUAGUAGGUGGGGUAAUGGCUCACCUAGGCGACGAUCCCUAGCUGGUGUGUGAGGAGGACCAGCCACACUGGAACUGAGACACGGUCCAGACUCCUACGGGAGGCAGCAGUGGGGAAUAUUGCACAAUGGGCGCAAGCCUGAUGCAGCCAUGCCGCGUGUGUGAAGAAGGCCUUCGGGUUGUAAAGCACUUUCAGCGGGGAGGCGUUACCCGCAGAAGAAGCACCGGCUAACUCCGUGCCAGCAGCCGCGGUAAUAC